GAUGAACGCUGGCGGCGUGCCUAAUACAUGCAAGUCGAGCGAACAGACGAGGAGCUUGCUCCUCUGACGUUAGCGGCGGACGGGUGAGUAACACGUGGAUAACCUACCUAUAAGACUGGGAUAACUUCGGGAAACCGGAGCUAAUACCGGAUAAUAUAUUUAACCGCAUGGUUCAAUAGUGAAAGACGGUUUUGCUGUCACUUAUAGAUGGAUCCGCGCCGCAUUAGCUAGUUGGUAAGGUAACGGCUUACCAAGGCAACGAUGCGUAGCCGACCUGAGAGGGUGAUCGGCCACACUGGAACUGAGACACGGUCCAGACUCCUACGGGAGGCAGCAGUAGGGAAUCUUCCGCAAUGGGCGAAAGCCUGACGGAGCAACGCCGCGUGAGUGAUGAAGGUCUUCGGAUCGUAAAACUCUGUUAUUAGGGAAGAACAAAUGUGUAAGUAACUAUGCAUGUCUUGACGGUACCUAAUCAGAAAGCCACGGCUAACUACGUG
rnacentral:rRNA from 1 species